UACGUCCAUAUCCCUUGCAAACAUCAGUUCUCGUUCGAUAGCCGAAGUUAAGCAACGUUGAACCUGGUCAGUACAUAGAUGGGUGACCACUCAAGAUUACUGUGUGCUGCAAU